UGAGGAAUAUUGGUCAAUGGACGCAAGUCUGAACCAGCCAAGUAGCGUGCAGGAUGACGGCCCUAUGGGUUGUAAACUGCUUUUAUAUGGGGAUAAAGUGGGGAACGUGUUCCCUUUUGCAGGUACCAUAUGAAUAAGGACCGGCUAAUUCCGUGCCAGCAGCCGCGGUAAUACGGAAGGUUCGGGCGUUAUCCGGAUUUAUUGGGUUUAAAGGGAGCGUAGGCCGUUUGGUAAGCGUGUUGUGAAAUGUAGGAGCUCAACUUCUAGAUUGCAGCGCGAACUGUCAGACUUGAGUGCGCACAACGUAGGCGGAAUUCAUGGUGUAGCGGUGAAAUGCUUAGAUAUCAUGAAGAACUCCGAUUGCGAAGGCAGCUUAAGGGAGCGCAACUGACGCUGAAGCUCGAAGGUGCGGGUAUCGAACAGG
rnacentral:rRNA from 1 species